UACGGGGGGGGCAAGCGUUGUUCGGAAUUACUGGGCGUAAAGGGCUCGUAGGUGGCCAACUAAGUCGGACGUGAAAUCCCUCGGCUUAACCGGGGAACUGCAUCCGAUACUGGAUGGCUUGAGUUCAGGAGAGGGAUGCGGAAUUCCAGGUGUAGCGGUGAAAUGCGUAGAUAUCUGGAGGAACACCGGUGGCGAAGGCGGCAUCCUGGACCGACACUGACGCUGAGGAGCGAAAGCCAGGGGAGCAAACGGG
rnacentral:rRNA from 1 species